AACAGACUUCAUCUUCGCAGCAGAGGAAGGGAGUAACAAGAGGAGGGUGGAAACCCAGAUGAUGAUGAUCUUCUGGAAUGACUGGCUGAUGGAGGCGGAUGGCUGCUGCUCUUUCGCCAAAAUAAAAUACCAAAUGCUGCG